GAAAUGGGAACAUAAAAGAAAUCGUCAAUUCCUCCGUCUCUUCUUCCCUCUCUCCUUCCCUCUCCAUUUCUUCUCUCUCUUCCCAUUCGUAAGUGGGCCUCUUUUUAUUUACAGGAGAGAGCUGCUGAAUUUCAAAAGAAAAAAAAU
rnacentral:ribozyme from 13 species